rnacentral:rRNA from 1 species
AGAGUUUGAUCCUGGCUCAGAACGAACGCUGGCGGCAGGNNAACACAUGCAAGUCGAACGCAUCCUUCGGGGUGAGUGGCAGACGGGUGAGUAACACGUGGGAACGUGCUUUCGGUUGGGAUAACCCAGGGAAACUUGGGCUAAUCCGGAUACGCCCUUUGGGGGAAAGAUUGAUUGCCGAAAGAUCGGCCCGCGUCUGAUUAGCUAGUUGGUGAGGUAACGGCUCACCAAGGCGACGAUCAGUAGCUGGUCUGAGAGGAUGAUCAGCCACACUGGGACUGAGACACGGCCAGACNNCUACGGGAGGCAGCAGUGGGGAAUAUUGGACAAUGGGCGCAAGCCUGAUCCAGCCAUGCCGCGUGAGUGAUGAAGGCCCUAGGGUUGUAAAGCUCUUUCGGCGGGGACGAUAAUGACGGUACCCGCAGAAGAAGCCCCGGCUACUUCGUGCCAGCAGCCGCGGUAAUACGAAGGGGGCUAGCGUUGUUCGGAAUCACUGGGCGUAAAGGGCGCGUAGGCGGCCAUUCAAGUCGGGGGUGAAACCUGUGGCUCAACCACAGAAUUGCCUUCGAUACUGUUUGGCUUGAGACCGGAAGAGGUCAGUGGAACUGCGAGUGUAGAGGUGAAAUUCGUAGAUAUUCGCAAGAACACCAGUGGCGAAGGCGGCUGACUGGUCCGGUUCUNNGCUGAGGCGCGAAAGCGUGGGGAGCAAACAGGAUUAGAUACCCUAGUAGUCC